rfam:Equus caballus chromosome 20, whole genome shotgun sequence.
UUAAAGGCUCUUUUCAGAGCCACUCAACUACUCAUUAAAGAGCUGG